AUCUCGAUUCUGUUCAAUAGCUAAGAGUUUAGAAUAAAUCACUAUGUGGUGUUUUUAUAUAUUAUCUAUUAUUUGAGUAAGGAACAAAGUACUUUAUUCGUUGUUCAUCGCAGAUCAGAUAGACGGGCAAAAUGCUCAACAAGAUAAACAUUUUUUUAGCACAGAACGAGAAGUAAUUCAUUUUUAUAUACUUUCUAUAAAGCGAAACAAAUUAUUUUGUAAAAAGCAUGACUGAAGCAGAAAGAACUAUUUCAAUCUUCAACUAUUAAUAUAUAUAAUACAAAAUAAAAGAUUGAUGUAAUUCUACUUCUUUUUUAUGAGAUUUCAAGGUCAUCGGUCAUUUUUAAAACGGGAUGGAGUACUUUUCUCAUUGUUAUCUUGUAGCUGAUAAAAAAAAAAAAACAAAUUUAAACAUGUAUAAUACGUUGACACUGUGCGUAGAGUAUGAUUGUAUAAGAAUAAUUCCUUUACAAGGUCAUCUGAAGGUCAACAAAGUAUGUCCCCCUCCAAACGAAAUAAUGUUUUCCUCUGACAUUUCUUCCUAUCGCAAUACACGCGAUGUAUUUAAGAUGUAAGAGUUAGGUGGGACACCCUGUAUAUUAGAACCAGUCUACAGACCAAUUGAGUAAUUGUUUUCAAUUUGUAAUUACCUCACCAAUUUCAACAGUUAACGGAUAAUUAUGUUGGAGGGAGUACGAAAUAAUUAUCACACAUUCUUAAUUUCUAAGAUAUAAUUACAAAUCAACUUAGAUAAUUACUGCUUGUAUGCGAUGAAUUGAUUCUGUUUCCAACAAAUAUUAAGACGAAUAAACAAUUAUAAAUUUAAAAUAAAUUAUAAUUACUUAUUCGUGGUUCUCACUAAACCGCUCCUAGCAGCAGGCAACCCGAUGCUCGCGUGCGUCGGAACUUCGAUGCGGUACUUCAUUUCUAGUAAUCGUAUCUUGGAUAAAAAGCGCAAACGACAAUUAUUUUCUACAGAAAAUAACAUCGGUACGCUUAGGACUAUAGCCACUCGAACAUAUUUCAAAAUCGUUGAAGUCGGUGAGGUCGUCACUAAUGUAAACAAUUACCAAAACGGAUAGUUAAACAUAAAAGUGUUAUCCUUUUGAUUAUAAAUUCUGUUCUUCCAAUCUGCUACCUCUGACAAUCAAAAAUAUACCAAUCGAAACUGCUAUUUCUUCAUUUCGAAUAUACAACUCCGGAAAUUAAUUUUAAAUAAGAUUAAGUUCAUCCAUCUUCAUUUAUUUUUAACUUCAGGAGUCCUUAAAGGAAGAUCUUAUAGAAGAAGGAAUCUUCCUUUCCUUAAAUUUUAUCUCUAUCUCUUGAGACAAAUCUGUGAACGUUAUUGAAACAUGAAUAAACAUUCAUUCAAACGGUAGGAUGUUAAAGGUUUACAGUCUUUUUGUAAAUAAAAAAAUAACAAAAGUAGCUGGAAAGAUGUUCUACGGUAGAAUACACCACCGAUAGGUUAACGAGUGUAUACGAUUAUUAAACGAAUUUUCUAUAAACAGAACAAUGGCCCGUGAUGGGUUGACGAAUGCGCCCUGUUCGAGAUGUGCAAAUGUCAAGAUUCCUAAUCGAAAGUAGGAAGUUGCCUGACCUCCGAGAGGCAUCUUUCCUGAGAGUGGAUGCCCUCGUGGUUUUUCAUUACCACGGAUCUCGUCUUGGCAACCAACCGGAAGACCGGGGCGCACAAUUGUACCGGGUGGGGGAUAAAUAAGGAGUAGGUGGCUCGACGAGAUGAGGCGAGAAACAAGUCGGAAGUAGGUCAGCGGGACUGUCGGUCGUGAGGGUCCGGGUUCGUUUCUCCUUUCCUCGAGAGCUGCUUGCCAUCUCUGGUCGACGAAACAAAACAUGCAAGUGCGAUUCCUCGUACGAUCAAGUGCGCUAAAACAGAAAAAUAAGGGAUAUCACCGGUGGUGGGUAUCGCCGAUAGCAUUUAAAAUAAUUAACUUCCGGUUCUUCGAUCAUUCUCAUUUAUAUUUUAUACAUACAUAGAUUUCUUUGUAUAUUUACAAGUAGUUCGUUUCCUCGUCCGUUUUCAUUAUUUAUUUCUGUUACUUUUUUUGGGGGGUAGCGGGGAGGAAUAUCUAGUCUGCUCGCAUAUUUCGUCGUUUUCCUCCCGUGGUAACGCUUAAAACUGCUAGUGAUUAUUUUACACUCAACAUCAAUAGACACUCAGGUAGAGCUAAUAAAUUUUUCUAACGAUUUGUUAAAUUUUCUCUUCGCAUCUUCCUCUGCUCUCGCAUUCUCUCAUUCCGGUUGCACACUCUCCCUAUUACUCUCCUUUCUGCUGUAUACGCAGACCACGUCUUCGUGUAAAACUCGAGAAUGCACACGGAUCGGUAUGAACCUCGGUAAAAUAUAGUAGAAAUCUCUUCACUUCUUUCUCUCUCGAUAAAAAAAUAUGCGCAUCGUAUAUUUUUUGAUUAAACUUAGGUGACCUAUGCACGACACCACUAUUCAAUUUUGUAAGGACGGAUCUUCACAUUAACGCUAAUCAACGUUGCACAUCACUGUGUGCCUUUGAAGCAUUGGUCUAAGAAUAAACUCCCAAAAUCUGGCAAUUGUUUUCAUUUUUUUUUUUAAAACGGCUAUCGAUUAUUUGUUCGUUUAGAUAUCUUAAACACAAUAAAUAAACGAUAAUUACUGUUUCGGGAUGUUUAGAA